UAAGUUUUAGGGUACAUGUGCACAUUGUGCAGGUUAGUUACAAAUUGCUGAUCUUUGUAAUCUAUAAUUGUACCAUAAAAUACAUUUAGUAAGUAAUAACUGACAUUAAAGAAAUGCAUCACUGAUGGUAAUGGCACAACAUUAUUUUGUGAAUAAUCUGUUUUAGUCAUAUACACGUCCAUAUACAUGCAUGUGUGUGUGUGUGUGUGUGUAUGUACUGAGUUUUCAUAUAAUGUAACAUAUCAAAAAAUCGCUCAAAUGUUUCUGCUCUAAACUGUGAAAAUUCAAAUUAGAAACUGAGGGGAAAGAGCUCGGUGAGUAAGCCUGAAGACUUACACCUGAAUGUACAAUUUUAUCAUGUUAGAAUGAAAAAUCGACAUUUGGCAAAUAUUUAUUAUUAUGCUUUUGCAUUGUACUUAUCUACUUAUUUCUCCUAAUAGUCUUUGAUAAAUCACUUUUGAAAAUUCCAAGUGGAUUCAGCCAGGCUGAGAAAAGCGAAAAAGAGCUAUUUGAGUCACAUAUAGACAUAAAAAAUGGCAGAGAUGAUGUGUGUACUCAGGAGUUUAGAUGUGAUUGAGGUUGUUGUUGGUGGGGAUGGAGGAGGAAAGAGGAUUAGAUAAAGAAAUGAAAAAGCUGAAGGGACUUAAUCUGGUCCUUUUAUGCUUACGUUAAAGUUUUUGCUCUUAUUCUCUCUAUUUCUCUAUUGUUACUUUUAAAUAAAAAGGCUUCUAAGCAACUAAGGAUGGCACAAAUGUACCACAGGGCACAAAAAGAAAAAUAUUUAAAAAGGAUGGGCUUAGGAUUUGGGGCAACAAUAUUAAUUUAUUUACUUUAAAAAUUUUCAUUUACUUAGGUCUACGUUGUUUUUCAAAGUAUAGGUGAUACAUUCCAUUGCUUACCAAGAGCUUUGAAGAAUUUGUAAAGAAAUUGUUCUGAAAUAUUUUCAGAUGAAGCUCAAUUAAAUAACACUUUUAGAAAUAUCAUCUUGCUUAAGAAUUCCUUCUUUAUCCCAAAGUCAUAAAGAUAUUUUCUUGCUUUAUUCUAAAGUUUUAAAGCUUCAUUUUUUACCUUUAAAUCUUUAAGCCACAUAGAUAUUACUUUUAAGCAUUGUGUGACACAGUAAUUUUCUCUACAUUUUCAUCAUAAUCUUCCUAAUACUCUUAUUAUUGUUCUACAAUAGUGGUUGAUGUAGACUAGAUAUUUGUCCCUGCCCAAAUCUCGUGUUGAAUUGUAACCCCAGUGCUGGAGGUAGAGCCUGGUGGGAGAUGUUUGGAUCACAGGGGAGGACCCCUCAUGUUUUGGUGCUGUCUUCAUGAUAGUAAGAUCUUGUGAGAUCUGACUGUUUAAAAGUAUGUGACACCUCCCCUACACCCCCAGCCUUGCUCCACUCAGGCCAUGUGACAUGCCUGCUCCCCUUUUACCUUCUGCCAUGAUUAUAAGUUUCCUGAGGCCUCCCUGGAAGCCCAGAAGAUGCCAGCACCAUGCUUCUUUUAAAGCUGGCAUAACUGUGAGCCAGUUAAACCUCUUUUCUUUAUAAAUUACCCAGUCUCAGGUAUUUCUUUAUAGCAAUGCAAGAAUGGCCUAAUACAGUGGUAUUCUGACUUAUAUUAAGAUUUUAUCGAUGCAUGGCUUUGUUUCUGUAUUGUCUAUUCUUUUCCAUAGUUCUAUUUAUUUAGUAAUCGACAGCUAUCACAGUCUUAAUCACUAGGGAUUAACAAGUCUUGGUAUUUUUCUUAGAUAUCUACAGCUGCGUCACAGAUUAUUCCAGAAUUUAAUGAUUUAAAACAACAGUAAACAUGUAUUCUCUCUCACAUAUUGUGCAGGUCAGAAACUCUAUAGUGGAUUAGCUAUGCAGUUUUAGCUCAGAGUCUCUUAUGAAGUCAAGAAACUGGCUGGAGCUGUUGUCAUCUGCAGGCUUAAUUGGACUAGAGGAUUUGCUUUCAACGUGGCUCACUCACGUGGCUGGCAAGUUGGUGUUCGUUGUUGGUGGAGAGCCUCAAUUCCUAUCCACAAAGCAUUUCAUCCUGUUACACAACCUACCAAAGAGGCCUGGAAACCCGAAUGGCAACGUGGAGAACAGCCUCCCUGGAAAGGCGUCUGUGGCCACUGUGGACGUUAAAUGAGAGAUCUUCAUUAACAGAAUAACUCAACAUUGAAUGCAAGAAAUACUUUCAACAAAGGUCAGUAAUAUUUAAAGUCACAUAACUUCAUCACAAAGCCAAUUGUUUAGAAUUUUCAUGAGCAGGGUGCAGUGGCAUGUGCCUGUAAUCCCAGCUACUCAAGAGGAUGAGGCUGGAGCAUCACUUGAGUGCAGGAGUUGGUGACUAGCCUGGGAAACAUAGCAGGACUUCACAUUUUUACAAAUAAUAGAAUAAGUUAAAAUUUUCAUCAUUUUUUUCUGCCAGAUUUAAAAAUAUUUUACUUUAAAAAUUUCAGAAACCAUGUUAAGAAAAAAAUAAGAUUAAAAGAGGAGAUAAAUUUUAUGACUGAAAAUUAGUUAUACAAGUUAAAGUCUCAAUUACCUAUAAAACUUUAUUAAAGGUGAGAAUUAUCUUAAACAUCACAAUUUCCUGAAAUUUGUCACUCUUUUAAUGCUCACUUAGACCUUAUUGUAAACACCUACAUUCUUAGGCAAUUAUUUAUUCCAGAACCCAUUUUUGCUUGGUUAUCCAGUCUUCUACUUCUAUCAGCAUUGAAAAACAUAAAACCGCAGGGCUAAGAAUACUUGUAAGGAGAACUACCUACUCUUUUUCCAAACGUCUGAUGUGCUGGGUCUUUAUAUUAUCUGGUAUUACAAUGGAAACAAUGUUUUUGAUGAUGAAGAUUAUUUCGAUAAAUGACUUUUCCAAUUAUCAGACUCCUUAAAAUUCACUUUUGUACUUAAUGUUGUGUAAAGCUGUUUAUUGCUUCUUUAUUCCAGGGUCAAAAACAUUUUUCCAUCUCUAUAUUUGCAGCAAGUAUGAGCAGGUGGAAUAUUUACUAUGUUGUAAAUAUCCAAUAUAUGCAAUAAACUCAACCUCUCUAAAAUGUUUAUUCGUGAUUCCUUUAUGAGCAACCUAAUGAUGCUGAACCAGUAUUUAAAGACUCUCUUCAAUGUAAAUGCCCUAUUUGGUGAUCCCUAAUUUAGUUUCACUGAUGCAGAAGUAAAGUCUAAAGAUUAUAUCAUAGAUAAUGCAAAACACUUAAACACUGUUUUCGGGGGAACAAACAACUGAUUUUUGAUAUGUAUACAAUUCUAACUGCAGGAACUGUAGCUAGAGAGUUGCCAAUCAACCAUGCACGUUCAGCAGCUCUAGGAAAUCCUUCAAA